GACGAACGCUGGCGGCGCGCCUAACACAUGCAAGUCGAACGAGCGAGAGAGAGCUUGCUUUCUCGAGCGAGUGGCGAACGGGUGAGUAACGCGUGAGGAACCUGCCUCAAAGAGGGGGACAACAGUUGGAAACGACUGCUAAUACCGCAUAAGCCCACGACCCGGCGUCGGGUAGAGGGAAAAGGAGCAAUCGGCUUUGAGAUGGCCGCGCGUCCGAUUAGCUAGUUGGUGAGGUAACGGCCCACCAAGGCGACGAUCGGUAGACGGAUGGAGAGGGUGAACGGCCAGAUUGGGACUGGGGGAAGGAGCAGACUCCUACGGGAGGCAGCAGUAGGGAAUAUUGAGCAAUGGGGGGAGCGCUGAUGCAGCGACGGCGCGUGGAGGAAGAAGGUCUGCGGAUGGUAAGCUCCUGUUGUUGAGGAAGAUAAUGAGGGUACUCAACAAGGAAGUGACGGCUAAAUACGUG
rnacentral:rRNA from 1 species